rnacentral:rRNA from 1 species
GAUGAACGCUGGCGGCGUGCCUAAUACAUGCAAGUAGAACGCUGAAGGAGGAGCUUGCUCUUCUGGAUGAGUUACGAACGGGUGAGUAACGCGUAGGUAACCUGCCUGGUAGCGGGGGAUAACUAUUGGAAACGAUAGCUAAUACCGCAUGACAACAGUUAUUGCAUGAUAACUGUUUAAAAGGGGCAACUGCUCCACUACCAGAUGGACCUGCGUUGUAUUAGCUAGUUGGUGAGGUAACGGCUCACCAAGGCGACGAUACAUAGCCGACCUGAGAGGGUGAUCGGCCACACUGGGACUGAGACACGGCCCAGACUCCUACGGGAGGCAGCAGUAGGGAAUCUUCGGCAAUGGACGGAAGUCUGACCGAGCAACGCCGCGUGAGUGAAGAAGGUUUUCGGAUCGUAAAGCUCUGUUGUAAGAGAAGAACGAGUGUGAGAGUGGAAAGUUCACACUGUGACGGUAUCUUACCAGAAAGGGACGGCUAACUACGUG